rnacentral:rRNA from 1 species
AGCUUGUUGGUGGGGUAAUGGCCUACCAAGGCGACGAUGGGUAGCCGGCCUGAGAGGGUGUCCGGCCACACUGGGACUGAGAUACGGCCCAGACUCCUACGGGAGGCAGCAGUCGAGAAGCUUCGGCAAUGGGCGAAAGCCUGACCGAGCGAUGCCGCGUGAGCGAAGAAGGUCCUUUGGAUUGUAAAGCUCUGUCAGAUUGGGAAGAAAACCUUGGGGUUAAUACCCUCAAGGCUUGACGGUACCAUCAGAGGAAGCACCGGCUAACUCCGUGCCAGCAGCCGCGGUAAUACGGAGGGUGCAAGCGUUGUUCGGAUUCACUGGGUAUAAAGGGUGCGCAGGCGGUUUGAUAAGUCAGAGGUGAAAUAUGUCGGCUCAACCGGCAAACGGCCCCUGAAACUGUCAAACUUGAGUCCGAGAGAGGUAGGUGGAAUUCCAGGUGUAGCGGUGAAAUGCGUAAAUAUCUGGAGGAACACCAGUGGCGAAGGCGGCCUACUGGCUCGGAACUGACGCUCAGGCACGAAAGCUAGGGGAGCGAACGGGAUUAGAUACCCCGGUAGUCCUAGCCGUAAACGAUGGAUACUAGGUGUUGGAGGAUUCUACCCCUUCAGUGCCGCAGCUAACGCAUUAAGUAUCCCACCUGGGGAGUACGAUCGCAAGGUUGAAACUCAAAGGAAUUGACGGGGGCCCGCACAAGCGGUGGAGCAUGUGGUUUAAUUCGAUGCAACGCGAAGAACCUUACCUAGGCUUGACAUGCAGGGGACAGAUGUAGAAAUACAUCCUUCUUCGGACCCCUGUACAGGUGCUGCAUGGCUGUCGUCAGCUCGUGUCGUGAAAUGUUAGGUUAAGUCCUGCAACGAGCGCAACCCCUGUCUUCAGUUGCCAUCAGGUAAUGCUGGGAACUCUGGAGAGACCGCCGGUGACAAACCGGAGGAAGGUGGGGACGACGUCAAGUCAUCAUGGCCCUUACGCCUAGGGCUACACACGUGCUACAAUGGUCGGUACAAAGGGCUGCAAUACAGCGAUGUGGAGCGAAUCCCAAAAAACCGGCCUCAGUUCGGAUUGUAGUCUGCAACUCGACUACAUGAAGUUGGAAUCGCUAGUAAUCGCGUAUCAGAACGACGCGGUGAAUACGUUCCCGGGCCUUGUACACACCGCCCGUCAAGUCAACCGAGUUGGUUGCACCCCAAGUCGCUGAGCUAACCCCUUCGGGGGAGGCAAGUGCCCAAGGUGUGAUUGGCGAGGGGGACUAAGUCGUAACAAGGUAGCCGUAUCGGAAGGUGCGGCUG